rnacentral:rRNA from 1 species
ACUAACGCUGGCGGCGUGCCUAAUACAUGCAAGUCGAACGGGAUUCUUUGAUCAGCUUGCUGAGAGAAGGAUCUAGUGGCGGACGGGUGAGUAACGCGUGGGAAUCUGCCUCUUACUGGGGGAUAACAGUGGGAAACUACUGCUAAUACCGCAUAAGAUCUUCGGAUGAAAGGUGCAACUGCACCGGUAAGAGAUGAGCCCGCGUCCCAUUAGCUAGUUGGUGAGGUAAAGGCUCACCAAGGCGACGAUGGGUAGCCGGCCUGAGAGGGUGAACGGCCACACUGGGACUGAGACACGGCCCAGACUCCUACGGGAGGCAGCAGUAGGGAAUCUUCCGCAAUGGGCGCAAGCCUGACGGAGCGACGCCGCGUGAGUGAUGAAGGCCUUCGGGUCGUAAAGCUCUGUUCUUGAGGACGAAUAAGCCAGGGAGUGGAAAGCCCUGGUGAUGACUGUACUCAAGGAGAAAGCUCCGGCUAACUACGUG